rnacentral:rRNA from 1 species
UGGCGGACGGGUGAGUAAUGUCUGGGAAACUGCCUGAUGGAGGGGGAUAACUACUGGAAACGGUGGCUAAUACCGCAUAACGUCGCAAGACCAAAGAGGGGGACCUUCGGGCCUCUUGCCAUCAGAUGUGCCCAGAUGGGAUUAGCUUGUUGGUGAGGUAACGGCUCACCAAGGCGACGAUCCCUAGCUGGUCUGAGAGGAUGACCAGCCACACUGGAACUGAGACACGGUCCAGACUCCUACGGGAGGCAGCAGUGGGGAAUAUUGCACAAUGGGCGCAAGCCUGAUGCAGCCAUGCCGCGUGUAUGAAGAAGGCCUUCGGGUUGUAAAGUACUUUCAGCGGGGAGGAAGGUGUUGUGGUUAAUAACCGCAGCAAUUGACGUUACCCGCAGAAGAAGCACCGGCUAACUCCGUGCCAGCAGCCGCGGUAAUACGGAGGGUGCAAGCGUUAAUCGGAAUUACUGGGCGUAAAGCGCACGCAGGCGGUCUGUCAAGUCGGAUGUGAAAUCCCCGGGCUCAACCUGGGAACUGCAUUCGAAACUGGCAGGCUUGAGUCUUGUAGAGGGGGGUAGAAUUCCAGGUGUAGCGGUGAAAUGCGUAGAGAUCUGGAGGAAUACCGGUGGCGAAGGCGGCCCCCUGGACAAAGACUGACGCUCAGGUGCGAAAGCGUGGGGAGCAAACAGGAUUAGAUACCCUGGUAGUCCACGCCGUAAACGAUGUCUACUUGGAGGUUGUGCCCUUGAGGCGUGGCUUCCGGAGCUAACGCGUUAAGUAGACCGCCUGGGGAGUACGGCCGCAAGGUUAAAACUCAAAUGAAUUGACGGGGGCCCGCACAAGCGGUGGAGCAUGUGGUUUAAUUCGAUGCAACGCGAAGAACCUUACCUGGUCUUGACAUCCACGGAAGUUUUCAGAGAUGAGAAUGUGCCUUCGGGAACCGUGAGACAGGUGCUGCAUGGCUGUCGUCAGCUCGUGUUGUGAAAUGUUGGGUUAAGU